rnacentral:tRNA from 1 species
AAAGAGUUAGUUUAAUUAUUAGAAAACUUUAAUUUGUCAAAUUAAAAAUACUAUAAAGUAUUCUUUU